rnacentral:rRNA from 1 species
AUUGAACGCUGGCGGCAGGCCUAACACAUGCAAGUCGAACGGUAACAGGAAACAGCUUGCUGUUUCGCUGACGAGUGGCGGACGGGUGAGUAAUGUCUGGGAAACUGCCUGAUGGAGGGGGAUAACUACUGGAGACGGUAGCUAAUACCGCAUAACGUCGCAAGACCAAAGAAGGGGACCUUCGGGCCUCUUGCCAUCGGAUGUGCCCAGAUGGGAUUAGCUAGUAGGUGGGGUAACGGCUCACCUAGGCGACGAUCCCUAGCUGGUCUGAGAGGAUGACCAGCCACACUGGAACUGAGACACGGUCCAGACUCCUACGGGAGGCAGCAGUGGGGAAUAUUGCACAAUGGGCGCAAGCCUGAUGCAGCCAUGCCGCGUGUAUGAAGAAGGCCUUCGGGUUGUAAAGUACUUUCAGCGGGGAUGAAGGGAGUAAAGUUAAUACCUUUGCUCAUUGACGUUACCCGCAGAAGAAGCACCGGCUAACUCCGUG